AAAAUUUUAGUUUAUUUAAAAUAUUUUUUUUACAAAAAAAAGAUAAUAUAUUAUUAAAUUUUA
rnacentral:tRNA from 1 species